GCGGCGCUGUCCGACGGGUUAUACAUGGUGGAAUUGUAAGUUGUUUCAGAUCUGAAGGGCUCCCAAGUAAUCUGCGUUGA